ACAGGGAGGAGAGCAAAGUCCUUCAUUUAUCUACAGGACAGGAACAACACAGGCAGCAGCAAUAAAAGCUUCCCUCACUGCCUUGCCAAUAUGCUCCAAGCUCCAAGUGAAGGAAUAACCUGUUGUGGUCAUAGGAUAGUUCUCUAUGAUGGUCCAUGGCCUCU
rnacentral:sRNA from 1 species